rnacentral:rRNA from 1 species
UUUAUUGAGAGUUUGAUCCUGGCUCAGGAUGAACGCUGGCGGCGUGCCUAAUACAUGCAAGUCGAACGAGGUUAGAUUCGUCUAACCUAGUGGCGAACGGGUGAGUAACACGUAGGUAACCUGCCCUUCAGUUGGGAAUACCUAGAGGAAACUUUAGUUAAUACCGAAUAAUUACGAGGAAGGCAUCUUCCUUUUAUAAAAGUAGCAAUUGCUACGCUGAUGGAUGGACCUGCGGCGCAUUAGCUAGUUGGUAGGGUAACGGCCUACCAAGGCUCGGAUGCGUAGCCGACCUGAGAGGGUGAUCGGCCACAAUGGGACUGAGACACGGCCCAUACUCCUACGGGAGGCAGCAGUAGGGAGUUUUCGGCAAUGGGGGGAACCCUGACCGAGCAACGCCGCGUGAACGAUGAAGGUCUUCGGAUCGUAAAGUUCUGUUGUAGCUAGGGAAAGCACGGGAGAGUGGAAAGCUCUCGUUUUGACCCAACUACCAGAAAGCCACGGCUAACUACGUGCCAGCAGCCGCGGUAAUACGUAGGUGGCAAGCGUUAUCCGGAAUUAUUGGGCGUAAAGAGUGAGCAGGCGGCCGUUUAAGUCUGAAGUCAAAUGCAGUGGCUUAACCACUGUCCGCUUUGGAAACUGGAUGGCUAGAGUACGAGAGAAGUAAGCGGAAUUCCAUGUGUAGCGGUGAAAUGCGUAGAUAUAUGGAGGAACACCAGAGGCGAAGGCGGCUUACUAGAUCGAUACUGACGCUCAGUCACGAAAGCGUGGGUAGCAAAUAGGAUUAGAUACCCUAGUAGUCCACGCCGUAAACGAUGAGAACUAGGUGUAGGGUCAAACCCUGUGCCGAAGCUAACGCAUUAAGUUCUCCGCCUGGGGAGUACGUUCGCAAGAAUGAAACUUAAAGGAAUUGACGGGGGCCCGCACAAGCAGUGGAGCAUGUGGUUUAAUUCGAUGCUACGCGAAGAACCUUACCAGGGCUUGACAUAGUGUCUAAGACUCUAGAGAUAGAGGGAUAAUAGGUACAUACAGGUGGUGCAUGGUUGUCGUCAGCUCGUGUCGUGAGAUGUUAGGUUAGGUCCUCCAACGAGCGCAACCCCCAUCCUGUGUUGCCAGCGAGUAAAGUCGGGAACUCACAGGAAACUGCCCCUGUAAGGGGGAGGAAGGUGGGGAUGACGUCAA